rnacentral:tRNA from 1 species
GUCUCUAUAGCUUAAUUGGUAAAGCGCAGUACUGUUAAUACUGUUUAUGUGUGUUCGAUUCACGCUAGAGACG